rnacentral:rRNA from 1 species
UACAGAGGUCCCGAGCGUUGUUCGGAUUCAUUGGGCGUAAAGGGUGCGUAGGCGGCGGGGCAAGUCUGAUGUGAAAUCCCGGGGCUCAACCCCGGAACUGCAUUGGUUACUGCCUUGCUAGAGUACUGGAGAGGGUACUGGAAUUUACGGUGUAGCAGUGAAAUGCGUAGAUAUCAGGAGGAACACCGGUGGCGAAGGCGGGUCUCUGGGCAAUAACUGACGCUGAGGAGCGAAAGCGUGGGGAGCGAACAGG